rfam:Candidatus Levybacteria bacterium RIFCSPLOWO2_01_FTLL_39_24 rifcsplowo2_01_scaffold_17, whole genome shotgun sequence.
GCCUCCGUCGUCUAGCGGCCUAGGACAUCUGGUUUUCAGCCAGAGAAUCACCGGUUCGAAUCCGGUCGGAGGUA